GUACUUAAUGAAUAAGCCCUGGCUAAUUAUGUGCCAGCAGCCGCGGUAAUACAUAAGGGGCGAGCGUUAUCCGGAAUUAUUGGGCGUAAAGGGUGCGUAGGCGGUUUAAUAAGUCUAUAGUUUAAUUUCAGCGCUUAACGCUGUUGCGCUAUAGAAACUGUUUUACUAGAGUGAGUUAGAGGCAAGCGGAAUUCCAUGUGUAGCGGUAAAAUGCGUAAAUAUAUGGAGGAACACCAGAGGCGUAGGCGGCUUGCUGGGACUUUACUGACGCUGAGGCACGAAAGCGUGGGGAGCAAACAGGAUUAGAUACCCUGGUAGUCCACGCCGUAAACGAUGAGUACUAAGUGUCGGGUAAAACCGGUACUGAAGUUAACACAUUAAGUACUCCGCCUGAGUAGUACGUACGCAAGUAUGAAACUUAAAGGAAUUGACGGGACUCCGCACAAGCGGUGGAUCAUGUUGUUUAAUUCGAAGAUACACGAAAAACCUUACCAGGUCUUGACAUUUUCUUGCGAAGUUAUAGAAAUAUAAUGGAGGUUAUCAGGAAAACAGGUGGUGCAUGGUUGUCGUCAGCUCGUGUCGUGAGAUGUUAGGUUAAGUCCUAAAACGAGCGCAACCCUUGUCGUUAAUUGCCAGCAUGUAAUGAUGGGGACUUUAACGAGACUGCCAAUGAAAAAUUGGAGGAAGGUGGGGAUUACGUCAAAUCAUCAUGCCCCUUAUGAUCUGGGCUACAAACGUGAUACAAUGGUUGAUACAAAGAGUAGCUGAAACGCGAGUUCUUAGCCAAUCUCACAAAAUCAUU
rnacentral:rRNA from 1 species